rnacentral:tRNA from 1 species
GGGAGUAGAUGUCUACCUGGUGAGGGCCCCGGACUUCAAAUCCGGUGGCGGGCGUUGACCCGUCCGUGGUGGGUUCGAUUCCCACCUACUCCCGCCA